GACGAACGCUGGCGGCGGGCUUAACACAUGCAAGUCGAACGGAAAGGCCCUGCUUUUGUGGGGUGCUCGAGUGGCGAACGGGUGAGUAACACGUGAGUAACCUGCCCUUGACUUUGGGAUAACUUCAGGAAACUGGGGCUAAUACCGGAUAGGAGCUCCUGCUGCAUGGUGGGGGUUGGAAAGUUUCGGCGGUUGGGGAUGGACUCGCGGCUUAUCAGCUUGUUGGUGGGGUAGUGGCUUACCAAGGCUUUGACGGGUAGCCGGCCUGAGAGGGUGACCGGCCACAUUGGGACUAAGAUACGGCCCAGACUCCUACGGGAGGCAGCAGUGGGGAAUAUUGCACAAUGGGCGGAAGCCUGAUGCAGCAACGCCGCGUGCGGGAUGACGGCCUUCGGGUUGUAAACCGCUUUCGCCUGUGACGAAGCGUGAGUGACGGUAAUGGGUAAAGAAGCACCGGCUAACUACGUG
rnacentral:rRNA from 1 species